CUCCCUCUCUCCCCUCCUCCUUCCCUCCCUUCCUCCUUUCCUCCCAGUGGCCAUUCAGAUGACCUGGGUGAGAACAGAGCUUCUCAGGAAGCCUGAAGUUCUGAGUCCAGAGCUUAGGAAGGCUCUGAGGAAGCCUCUGUGCCUUAAUGUCCCCAAAGUCAGCAGGCUCAUACCCAGCUCAAAGCCAGCAAGUCCACUCUCAGAUUAGUGGGUUCUAGAUUCUUCUUCAGGGAGAAAAGAGAGUGGAGUUGAAACACCCUUAAUACCCUAAUUCUCUCAAAAGAUGAUUCAGACUUUUGUAGCUUCAUUAGCAUUUGCAGAUAAAAAUACAUUUUAAGUGGCAUUAUGCUAAGUAAUUAUUCUUACAAGAUGUGGAAUUAAAUACAUUUCCCUCAGCAUGAAAUUAUUCCUGCCACGUACUGAGUUGGGUGACAGCUUAAAAAGAAUUUGGACAGGGGGUUGCCACGAAAGGAAGAAGCAAUCUAUAUUCUUGAGGCGGUGGGGGGAAACCAACCCAAAAUAUCCACCAAAGGUAAAGUCCUUGUAGCAAAAUCAUUUUGGCUAGAUGGAAUAUUAAACCUGCUACUAUAAAUUUCACGCUUUGCAUUCCUAAAGCAGACGCAGAGAAAUGAUGCCAAAAAUUAAUCAGAAAUAAUGCCCGCCUUGCACGCUUUUUCCAGUAGGGGGCAGAACAGAUAAGACUGUGUGCGCUGGAGACCUCCCUAGACUGAUAAUCAGGCUUGUUUGUAAUUGCCUCUGUAAAGAUAUGUAGCCGCAUGCUUGAAUGCUUAUUUACAUUUUGGGAUGUGGUUGGGAAUAGAGGCUUUCGAUUUAGAACUUUGUUUCUGUCUCUAAGUACAUGGGAGACUUUCAGCUGUCGCGAACCUUGUAUUUACCAAUGCAUGGUGUUCAAUUGCUGGAUUUAAUUGUUACAGUACAGUGAAUUAUUCUAUUAUUUCUAACUAUUUUUUAUCUGGAAAAUUCAAACUUUCCAGGCUUUAGGGCAGGAUAAAAUGGCUCUGAGCAUGUCAGCGUCUCAAGAGUACAUUAUUUUCUUAUUGGAUUGCAUUAACUUUACAGAUGAAAAUUUGAAGGAGAAUUAGAAGGCUUAGAGAUGGAAAAUUCGGAGAAGAAAAGAAUUAUGUCUUCAGAUUUCUGGAGGGGCUAGCUGAAAUCCACCUGGCUUUCUCUUGACUUGGGAAAAUGAUGUUCCAGGGUUCAGUAUGUCAUCAGCAACCUUCAGGACCCUGUAUGGAUCCAGGGCUCUCCCAAAGGAAGAAACAGGGAACAUUCAGACUCGGCAGCUGAUGGGACACCACGAGGCUCCUCCUCUGGCUCUUCCUGGUUCAGCUUCACCUCAGGAACAUUUCAGGAGGGCCAUCUCCCGCUGCGCUGCGCUUUUUGAAAAGCCCUUGUAAGAAGCAACAGUCCCACUGCCUACUCUUUUCUCCCUCCUUUCCCUGUUCCUCCAGGUAGGCGCACUAAGAACGAUUUCCUUUGUGGGAAAUGAAGCAGACCCCGGCCGCAGAGGAUCCGUUGUCAUUUCUGAGGUGCAUUUAACUUAAAUAGCCAGGAGAUCUGGAGCCCCCAAAACAGGUCCCUGCAGUGUGGGUGUUCAGACACACGUGUUCCCUUCCUGUGACUGAGGAAGAAGAUGGGUGGAGCAAUGCCCUCUGCUGGAGCGAUGCCUCAUACUGCGUGGACAGAUGUGUGUGGGUGACCUAGCUGCCUGCCUUUUGUUCUCCGGUCUCUCACCCUGUUAUUUCUUCAACUCCCAACCACCGCACAGUUUUUUGUACUCAUGCGGCAUUCUUAACCUCUGACUUGAGUUUUGAGUGGUGUGGAAAACAAAGGAAGAAGUGGGAGGUGGUGAUGGUCUGUGACAUCACGGCCUCAUUCUGAUCUCACAAUCUCAUAGUUACAGGACAUUUCCUCUACCCUCC
rnacentral:lncRNA from 1 species